GCCUGGGUGGCUUGGUUGGUUGAGCGUCUGACUUCAGCUCAGGUCACGAUCUCACAGCUCUGUGAGUUCGAGCCCCGCAUCAGGCU
rnacentral:tRNA from 1 species